rnacentral:rRNA from 1 species
GGUGAAAGGCUUGCUGCCUGAAGAAGAGCUUGCGUCUGAUUAGCUAGUUGGUAGUGUAAGAGACUACCAAGGCGACGAUCAGUAGCUGGUCUGAGAGGAUGAUCAGCCACACUGGGACUGAGACACGGCCCAGACUCCUACGGGAGGCAGCAGUGGGGAAUUUUCCGCAAUGGGCGAAAGCCUGACGGAGCAAUACCGCGUGAGGGAGGAAGGCUCUUGGGUUGUAAACCUCUUUUCUCAGGGAAGAACAGAAUGACGGUACCUGAGGAAUAAGCAUCGGCUAACUCCGUGCCAGCAGCCGCGGUAAUACGGAGGAUGCAAGCGUUAUCCGGAAUGAUUGGGCGUAAAGGGUCCGCAGGUGGCAUUGUAAGUCUGCUGUUAAAGAGUUUGGCUCAACCAAAUAAGAGCAGUGGAAACUACAAAGCUAGAGUGUGGUCGGGGCAGAGGGAAUUCCUGGUGUAGCGGUGAAAUGCGUAGAUAUCAGGAAGAACACCAGUGG